UUUUAUGAAAAUAUAUAUAGCUUUAAUUUAAAGACAUAUAAACACUUUUGGUACAGUACAGACAUGAUGCUGAAAAAACGCUGUAUGAUCUGUCUGAAAACUGUUGCUUUCCUUGUGUUGGUAUGUACAUUUGACUAUUUUGAGUGACAGAGAAAUAACAAGUGAAUGGUUAACAUCAAAUGUGAACAGAUUUAUUUGCAGAUAGCAUUUCCUGGACACAUUACUUCUAUAUCUUGAUGUGCGGUACAUGAAAAGAGUUGCCUUACAGCAUGCAGAAUUAAUAUGCAGCAGGAUGGAAAUUGGUGAACAAAUCAAGGAUUUUUUUAAAAUUAAUUUCUGCAAUAUAUUAACUACACAUGCUGCAGGACGGCCCUUCAUGCACAGCACAUGGAAGUGAUAUGUGUCUAGGAAUAAAAGUGGAUCUGGCAACUUUAUUUGAAAAAAAAACAAAUACGUCAAAAUAAAGGGUAAAAAAUUAGAUCACUUUCCAAGCUAAUGAUGAUCAAAGCUGACACUAACCAUUUGUGUGACACAAACCUGAGCAACAUUACAUUUCACAUCCUUUUGGAACUACGGCAUGUUUAUUUACUAAAUUGUGGACUAUCAGAAAUUCACCAGAGAAUUGCAAAUUUUGAUGUCGGUAUAACUGGCCUUAAAUGAGGAAUUCCUUUUUUUAAUUCCUGACAUUUCACUGUUUAGUGAAUAACUGCAUGUGAUAAAUACAGAGUCGGAUGCUUUAUCCUCCACAAUGCUUAUGUAAAAGGCAAGGUCACCAAAACAAAGAGAACUGCAGGUGAUAAGUCCCCUGCUGCUGAAAAUCUAAAACUGUAGUCACAAAUAAUGCUUUUUACUUCUAUCCAGGCACAGCCACAAAAUCCCAACAAGCAUUAUACCCAGUAAUACAAAUUUAAUGUGCAAUAGUCAGGGAAUAGGAAAGAUCUGAUGUUCUAUCUUCUGAGGGAUACAACACCUAUCAUGUUAGGCUGAGUCUAUUAGGAAUUUCACUCCAUCAAACCUUGAGUGACAUACAUACAUCACUAAUAUAUAGCUCUAUCCCAAUUAUGACUUUGGGUGUGUACACACAAACACACCCUUCUGUCAUAAAUGCCACUAUUAUGAGUGUGUGUAUUUUGUUUAUAAAUAUAUAUUUUUUUUAAUAAAAAAAAAAAAAAGAAGGCGAUUCAUUAGUUACCAUCUGCAUAGUGAAAUGUAAAAAUAAAAAUGAGCUUUUUAACUCAUGAUUGUCAAAUAAGUGCACGUAACUGCCAUAAAAAGAGCCACGUUUGAGCAAUUAUUAA